UUUUAGUUAAGUUAAAAUUAAACUGAUUUUUUGUCAAAAAAUCAAUCUUUUCAAAAUCAAAAAAGAUUAAAAU
rnacentral:tRNA from 1 species